UUUUACCACUUUAAUUACAAAACAUAUUUUCAAACCUAAAAAGAUUUUUUAAUAUAUUAAAUCUUAUUUUCAAACUUAAAAUGAUUCUUUAAUGUAUUAAGUCAUAUUUACAGUAGAAAGUGGUACUUGAAUAAAGUUUCUAACUUUGCCAAACACCUGUCUAAUUUACUUUUAUAUUAUAUGUGUCAAUUGCCAGUGUGAGAAGACAAAAUGAAAUACGUUGUGAAAGGUAAAGACUGUAUUAUUUUCUGGCUCUGCAUUAUAAAAGGGAAAUCUCUGCAGUGGAAUAUGUUGGAUGUGGCAGAUCCUUUUGAGCAUAUGCUUGAAUUUUUUAAAAAAGCUUUAGGUAGCACACAGCAGUGGCUUCACUUUUAACCUUUCUCACAUUACUGUGAUACAGGAUCGGAAAGUAAUUUUUCCUGAUGUCACAGAACAAAUGAAUUAGUAGGAUGGGGUGAGUUAAAAAACCUGCCUCAAGCAUUAUGAUUUCUUACCGUUCUUUAGCCAACAAAGAAAAGUCUAAUAUCUGACUCAAAAGUCCCUUUCCCUCUAGGUUCUAUAAAUUUCUUUAAGCACCAGUAGUGCCUUUAGGAAACAUACAACCUAAGCAUUAAGAUUUUCUCUUAUAAACUGAUUUGACAUAAAAUAGUGGUCUAUAUUGUAACAAAAAUUCUAUAGCUGUGCCAACUUACAGAAAAAAAAGUAGUAGCAUUUGGUGUUAAAUGUUUCCUCUAAGAAUUGUGUUGAUACUUAAAUUCAGGUAAAACCUGAUCAGCCUGUAGAGAAUGAGACAUUCAAAAUAAAAUAAUAAUUCUUCAAAUCCUUAAUGUGGCUUUUGCACCCCAACCUCCUUUCUCUGGUUAUAAGUAUUGCUGAUUACUUUUGGGGGAGUUGACCAGUGACCACAUAGAGCCUUUGUUUCCUAAUUUAAAAAGUAAAAUUUAUUGAAAAGGUUACCUCUUACCGGUAGAGAACUAAUUGUCCUCUAGAAUCAAAGUGUGUACUCAGUGAAAAUCCCCACAGUUUUCCAGUGCGCCUUAGUCUUCGUCUCCAGCAGCCCUGUAUGUCACUCCUGGUUGCCUCUCGGGAUCAGACGCACACAUUCAGUUGCACUUCCUAUGAUGUGCUGUAUUAUGCCUCAGGACCUGUCCCCAACCUCCUCAGCUCCAGAACUGAGCUCCAGUUUUGCUCUUGGGAGCUGAGCGUUUGCGUGAGACCCGGCUGUAUUAAGAUACGAGGCACUAAGCAAAAUUAAUGAGGUGGAGGCAAGGAAUUGUGGGACGUGGGAGUCACUUCAGAUUUUUAGCUUUCGAGAUAGCUAUUGAUACCAGAUGAGUAGCCGUUACCAUGCAGGUGCUACUAACCAGUUCUGGACAUGCUUCUAAAGUUGCUGAUGUUUUUUUUUUUCCAACUCAAAGAGAGGAGUUACACGUUUGGAA
rnacentral:lncRNA from 1 species